UUGCCCUCUUCUGUCUCCCCAGAGCCAGCAUGAGAGGGCAGCUGGUUCCUGGGGCAUUAAACCCUUCAAGAGGACCCAGAUGUCAUCAGGUGCACAGGACACAGUGAACAAGGCGGAUCAGGCCCUGCUCCCUGGCCCCCCCGCUAGCGGGGAGAGGAAGUCAUCAGGAGAAGCUGGAGUCAUUCCAGAGGGUGCCAGGAUGUCAGGAUGGUGAUUGGAGUCAGGCUCCAGCUCGUUGUUGGAUUUGGAGGUUGUGGGUGAGCAGGGACCUGGGUGACGAACCACAGCUGACCACGCAUCUUUGCGUCCGAGUCCCAGGCUGUUCCCCCCCUGGCUCCCUCACUCACUGUCUGGGUAGUGGCGGUGCCCCAGGUGCCCAGCGCUGUGCCAGGAGCGAGGGAUGGGGGAGUGUGUUGCGGUUACCUCAGUCUGCCCUGCUGUGGGUACAGGGCCUGGGGGGCCGACCACUUGGCUCUCCGCAUGCAGGCCUCCAGGUGGAGCGGCUCUCAGGCGAGGAGCUGACCUAGGAACCGUCCUGGGGAGCUCGUCCUCACUUGGAUGAGAUCCCGGACUCGGAACAGAGGCUGUGACGGGUUGAGACUUUUGGGGUCUGCUGGGAGGGGGAGCGAGGAUAUUUUGCACGGGAAGAAAUGCAGGACUCGGUGGCCAGAGGGCGGAGGGUGACACUUUGAAAUGUGUCCUCAAAUCCUCGGGCCUGCUCGUCAAACAGUGGGACCUAAUGCAGCACUUUCCCUGAAUGUGGGCCAGACUUGGUGACGCGCUUCUGACAAACAGAAAAGGAGCAGAGUGACGGUGGACACGCGAGACCGGGCCAUCGAAGGCACCGCGGCUCGCCACUGGCCCUCCCUAGGAUCCCUCACCUGCAGGGGCAGUGGCCACAUGACCACAUGGGAGGACACUCCAGACGCUCAGAUGGGGACGUCCACGUGGCGAGGCGCAGAGGCCUCCUACCGACAGCCACGUGGGUGCCGCCACCUCAGAAGGGGAGCUGCCCACUCGGGGGCGUGUCAGAUGAUGGCCCCUGACUCUGUGACUGCACUUUCAGAGUCACAGAGUGACACAGGGAGACAGAGAGCCAGGCCACGAGGACGCUCUUGAAUCCCUGACCCUCAGAUCCUGCGGGACAUUAAACAGCUAAGUUCUGGGGUAA